rnacentral:rRNA from 1 species
GACGAACGCUUGCGGCGUGCCUAAGAAAUGCAAGUCGAGCGGGGUAGCAAUACCUAGCGGCGAACGGUCGCGUAACACGUAGGCAACCUGCCCGAAAGACCGGGACAACAUUCCGAAAGGGGUGCUAAUACCGGAUGUGGCCAAUGGGAGACAUCUCCUAUUGAUUAAAUCACUUGUGGCUUUCGGAGGGGCCUGCGGCCUAUCAGCUAGAUGGCGGGGUAACGGCUCACCAUGGCGACGACGGGUAGCUGGUCUGAGAGGACGAUCAGC